UUCCGUAGGUGAACCUGCGGAAGGAUCAUUGUCGACCCGAGAACGCGUGAUAACCACACGGGGCGAGGGGCUUCGCGGCCUUUCGUCCCCAAACGGUCGGGAACCCCGUGCCGCCCGUCUGGCCACAAACCAUUCGAAGCGACCGUGGCAACCUCGUUCGUAAACCGAACCCCGGCGCGGAAUGUGCCAAGGAACUGAAACCAAAGAGCGUCGCCGGCCGCCUCGGACACGAUGUGCGUGCCGGCGUCGACGUCUUGUAUUUAUCCAAAACGACUCUCGGCAACGGAUAUCUCGGCUCUCGCAUCGAUGAAGAACGUAGCGAAAUGCGAUACUUUGUGUGAAUUGCAGAAUCCCGUGAAUCAUCGAGUCUUUGAAUGCAAGUUGCGCCCGACGCCAUUCGGCCGAGGGCACGUCUGCCUGGGUGUCACGCACCGUUGCCCCCAAACGCCCCCGCCUCGCAAGGGGUGCGGGAUCUCGUUUGGUGGCGGAAGUUGGCCUCCCGUGGGCCUGUGCUCGCGGUUAGCCUAAAAAGGAGUCCUCGGCGACGAGCGCCACGACAAUCGGUGGUUGAUUAGACCUCGGUCCCCGUCGUGCGUGUCUGGUCGCCACAAGGUGUGACUCGUCGACCCUAACGCGUCGUACCCACGUCGCUCCCAACGCGACCCCAGGUCAGGCGGGACUACCCGCUGAG
rnacentral:rRNA from 1 species